rnacentral:rRNA from 1 species
GACGAACGCUGGCGGCGUGCCUAAUACAUGCAAGUCGAACGCAGUGGGGACGGGUGAGUAACACGUGGGUAACCUCCCAUCAGAGGGGAUAACACUUGGACACAGGUGCUAAACCGCUACUGAUGGAUGAACCCGCGGUGCAUUAGCUAGUUGGUGGGGUAACGGCUCACCAAGGCCACGAUGCUUAGCCGCCCUGGGAGGUUGAUCGGCCACAUGGGGACGGGUAAACGGCCCAGACUCCGACGGGAGGCGGCAGUAGGGAAUCUUCGGCAAUGGACGAAAGUCGGACCGAGAAACGCCGCGUGAGUGAAGAAGGUUUCGGGAUCGAAAGACUCUGUAGUUAGAGAAGCGGUAUCUAACCAGAAAGCCACGGCUAACUACGUGCCAGCAGCCGCGGUAAUAC